rnacentral:tRNA from 1 species
AACAUAAUAGCUUAAAUAAAAGCGUCAAACUUUUAAUUUGAAAAUGGAUUAAACCCUUAUGUGA